GACGAACGCUGGCGGCGUGCCUAACACAUGCAAGUCGAACGGAAAGGCACUGCUUUUGUGGGCUGCCCGGGGGGCGAACGCGUGAGUAACACGAGAAUAUCCUAACCUUGACUUUGGGAUGACUUCAGGAAACUGGGGCUAAUACCGGACAGGAUCCCACGUACCGUGGAGGGGGGUGGAAAGUUUGGGCGGUUGGGGAUGGACGGGCGGCUGAUCAGCUUGUUGGUGGGGUAGUGGCUUACCAAGGCUUUGACGGGUAGCCGGCCUGAGAGGGUGACCGGCGUCAUUGCGCCUGCGAGACGGACCAGACUCGUAUGGUAGGCAGUAGGGGGAAAUAUUGCACAAUGGUCGCAAGCCUGAUGCAGAAGCGCCGCGUUUGGGAUGCCGUCUUGCGGGUUGAGAACCGCAUUCGCUUAAGACGCAGCUGUUGUGACGGUAACGGGUGAAGAAGCACCGGCUAACUACGUG
rnacentral:rRNA from 1 species